rnacentral:ncRNA from 2 species
UAUUUCCUUCAGGGCAGGGUGAAAUUCCCGACCGGCGGUAUAGCCCGCGAGCCGCAAUAGCGGUUGAUCUGGUGAAAUUCCAGGGCCGACAGUAUAGUCUGGAUGGGAGAAGGAAAUG